GGUGAAGUAGCCUGGGUAGGCUUGGAGGUCUCAUAAGCCUCUUAAUAGCAGGUUCAACUCCUGCCCCCGCCACCA
rnacentral:tRNA from 1 species